GUAACACGUUGGAGCCUGCCCCAAAGUGAGGAAUAAGCCACCGAAAGGUGGUCUAAUACUUCAUAAUAUCCAUCUCGUAUGGAUUAAAGCUUUAUGCGCUUUGGGAGGGGCCUGCGUAACAUUAGCUUGUUGGUGAGGUAAAAGCUCACCAAGGCUUCGAUGUUUAACUGGUUUGAGAGGAUGACCAGUCACACUGGGACUGAGAUACGGCCCAGACUCCUACGGGAGGCAGCAGUAAGGAAUCUUCCACAAUGGGGCAACCCUGAUGGAGCAAUACCGCGUGCAGGAUGAAGCGUUUCGGCGUGUAAACUGCUUUUAUCACCGAAGAUUAUGACUGUAGGUGAAGAAUAAGGACCGGCUAACUACGUG
rnacentral:rRNA from 1 species